rnacentral:rRNA from 1 species
GACGAACGCUGGCGGCGUGCUUAACACAUGCAAGUCGAACGGAAAGGCCCUGCUUUUGUGGGGUGCUCGAGUGGCGAACGGGUGAGUAACACGUGAGUAACCUGCCCUUGACUUUGGGAUAACUUCAGGAAACUGGGGCUAAUACCGGAUAGGAGCUCCUGCUGCAUGGUGGGGGUUGGAAAGUUUCGGCGGUUGGGGAUGGACUCGCGGCUUAUCAGCUUGUUGGUGGGGUAGUGGCCUACCAAGGCUUUGACGGGUAGCCGGCCUGAGAGGGUGACCGGCCACAUUGGGACUGAGAUACGGCCCAGACUCCUACGGUAGGCAGCAGUGGGGAAUAUUGCGCAAUGGGCGGAAGCCUGAUGCAGCAACGCCGCGUGCGGGAUGACGGCCUUCGGGUUGUAAACCGCUUUCGCCUGUGACGAAGCGUGAGUGACGGUAAUGGGUAAAGAAGCACCGGCUAACUACGUG